GGCGGGGUAGAGCAGUUUGGUAGCUCGCAAGGCUCAUAACCUUGAGGUCACGGGUUCAAAUCCUGUCCCCGCAU
rnacentral:tRNA from 3 species